GACGAACGCUGGCGGCGUGCUUAACACAUGCAAGUCGAACGGAAAGGCCCUGCUCUUGUGGGGUUCUCGAGUGGCGAACGGGUGAGUAACACGUGAGUAACCUGCCCUUGACUUUGGGAUAACUUCAGGAAACUGGGGCUAAUACCGGAUAGGAGCUCCUGCUGCAUGGUGGGGGUUGGUAAGUUUCGGCGGUUGGGGAUGGACUCGCGGCUUAUCAGCUUGUUGGUGGGGUAGUGGCUUACCAAGGCUUUGACGGGUAGCCGGCCUGAGAGGGUGACCGGCGACAUUGGGACUGAGAUACGGCCCAGACUCCUACGGGAGGCAGCAGUGGAGAGUAUUGCACAAUGGGCGGAAGCCUGAUGCAGCAACGCCGCGUGCGGGAUGACGGCCUUCGGGUUGUAAACCGCUUUCGCCUGUGACGAAGCGUGAGUGACGGUAAUGGGUAAAGAAGCACCGGCUAACUACGUG
rnacentral:rRNA from 1 species